rnacentral:tRNA from 1 species
GACCUUGUAGCUCAGACGAUAGAGCAUCGUUAUAGAAAUGCGAAGGUCGCGGGUUCGAAUUCCAGCCGCGGUCA